rnacentral:tRNA from 2 species
GCAGUCGUGCCCGAGUGGUUAAGGCGGAUGGACUAGAAAUCCAUUGGGAUUUCCCCGCACAGGUUCGAAUCCUGUCGACUGCG